AUGCCUUCACACUCCAACGUUUAUGCAUCGACCCCAUUUCCUUUUGAUCAUAUUACGCUUGACUCGCUGCAAAACAUUUCGCUUUCUGCGCACGCUCGUACGUGGUUUACACUCCUAGCCUUUCAUCUGACUUUGCCAUCGGGCAAUUGUUUGUUUUCAACUGGAUUGGAUUCUGAACCAAGAAAGAUAGGCAACUUUCACUUGAAAUAAAGGAGCUUCAGAACUCUUGUAUUCCACCGAAUAAGAAUAAGAGCAAGAAGGGGCUAUCUUUGUGAAGGGACCGGCACCAGAAAGUAG
rnacentral:rRNA from 1 species